CCAGCUCCAAUAGCGUAUAUUAAAGUUGCUGCAGUUAAAACGCUCGUAGUUGAACCUUGGGGUUUGUGGUGGUUGUUGGUCGCAAGACCGGACAGCGACUGGAGCCCUUUUGGGGUGGGUUGACCAUACGGUCAAAUCUCCACCCGCGUUACUGUGAAGAAAUUAGAGUGUUUAAAGCAGGCUUGAGCUUGAAUACAUCAGCAUGGAAUAACAUUAUAGAGUUGAGAGUCUAUAUUUGUUGGUUUUGGAAAUUCAACAAUGAUUAAUAGGGCCAGUUGGGGGCAUUAGUAUUUAGUAGUCAGAGGUGAAAUUCUUGGAUUUACUAAAGACUAACUAGUGCGAAAGCACUUGCCAAGGAUGUUUUCAUUAAUCAAGAACGAAAGUUAGGGGAUCGAAGACGAUCAGAUACCGUCGUAGUCUUGACUAUAAACGAUGCCGACUUGGGAUUGGCGGAGAUGGAUUAUCCACUCUGUCAGGACCAUAGAGAAAUCAAAGUUUUUGGGUUCUGGGGGGAGUAUGGUCGCAAGGCUGAAACUUGAAGGAAUUGACGGAAGGGCACCACCAGGAGUGGAGCCUGCGGCUUAAUUCGACUCAAC
rnacentral:rRNA from 1 species